CUUUAUUUACCAGGUCCUUCCAGUGUUCAGGCAUAAACUCAGACUACAAAGUUUGUUGUUUGAGUCUUGGAGUGGAACUAACUACUGUGGGGACAUUUCCACCAAAACACUGAUAAAUAUCCUGAAUGGCAUUGUGGAACAUAAACACAAUAGUAGUAUGGCUGCACAAAAACAGGAAGCAUCGGAUCCCCAUACUUUAAUCCACUCACAGGCGUCGGAAGACAUUGGUUAAAAAAGCAGCAUUGUUUGGGUACCAAAUGAGGUCUUGGCCCCUGCGAUCAUAAAGAAGGUAUACUUCUGAUUAAAUGUGUUCUCAGAAAUGUGUUUCCAGGAACAAUCGUAAGAAGUUAAUCGACGAGGAGUUUAACAAUGUUUCCCAAGGGAGUAUACUUGGACCGGUUAGUCAGCUCUGGAGCCAAAGUAUAGAAAGACCAUCGCUACAGAGUCGUUCAGCAUUUGGCUCGUAUCCACUGGGCUGAAGUGUUCAUGUGCGAUCAUUGACCUGCUGGUGAGAACUGCUUCCUCAACAUACGAAAGAGAAACCCAACCUCUGUUAGGACAAGGUGAAAAUGAGACAAAAGACCAACGACAUCUGUUGCAGGAAAACCAGUUGUUCCUAAAGCGUUUUUGUGUGUGAGCUACCCAUGAAGAAAUGUCGUUACUAUGGGGUGGGGGUACCUCGUCUGGUCUAGGUAGGUGCUACAUGUCUAAGUAACACCCACAUGAAUGAAUGCCAAGUAGAAAAAGUUUCCCAGCAGAACACUGAAUUGUCACAAGAUGGUCAUUGUUAUUUCAUUCUCCUGUCAGUGGUCAUAAUGUUAUGGACCAUCAUGUGUAUUUACAUGAGUUUCCCAGCAGCAUUGGUAACAGUAGUAGUAUUUUGUCCAAUUUGUAUACCAGUUGAUUAGGUUAGUGAGCUAGUCAUGAGCUAAUCGUAUUAUUUUUGUUGUUUAUAUUUUUAUUGCAAAGACCUCAAUUCAAGUCACGUGUUAUUAAUUCACUAAAUAUCCAAAGAGAUUUAAGAUGGAAAUGAAAUCCUGUUUUUUUCUCCAACAAAUAUCUACAUGUACAAAUGUACCCGAUUUGUAUUAUGAAACUGAACUGGACCUCCACAUACUGCAGCAACAGGAAAAACAGGAAGCCUCGGAUUCCCAUAAGUUAACCCAUCAACAGUGUGUUUCAAGAGCAGCUGUGGACAUUGCAAAAUAACAAAAGCAUUGUUUGGGUGUGAAACUUCUGACCAGUGACCUACAACACAGUACAGACAGGUUCUUUCCAAAGCCUCUUCAGGGACAACUCCAGGAAUUCAGCUCGUUUCUGCUGUCAAGUUAACUCCUCAAAUUAAAUGGAACAUUGUUUAUGGAAGCCCGUUAGUCGGACACCUCAAAGACCACGUGUCGUUGUUUCUGAGUCCCCACCGGAUCUUAGAGCAAUCAACAUCGAGUCACGUUGAAGAACAGAGCAAAUCAAGUGGGAUUCCAGGUGUGGAACAAGCCGGUUUCUCAUAUCCUUGCUUUCUGUGUAGAAUUUAGACAAUUGUGAAAGUGAACUAAGCAGAUUAAUUUACUACACUCUUGAGGAUAAAAAUGUCCACUUUCAAAAAACUGCUAUAAAACCUGA